CCUGCUCAAAUGCGCGCAAAGAGAAGAUGUAACCAGCAAUCUUCAAAGGUUGGACUCACAAUGGCCCAGAUCCGAGCGCACCCGAAAUCUGAUUAAAAGCCAAUUGAACCACCUGAAGUGCAAAGUAAACAUCACUCAAAUAAGGUCUUAGAUGAGCUGCCGCCAGAUUUUUGGAUAAACUCUCUGAGGAUGGUCUUUAGUCGAGCUAAUGGAGGUGUCAAAACUGAAAGAAAAAUAACAAUAGAUUCCAAACUUUGCAAAUACUCAAAGCAUCUCGUUUGGGGCAAAAUCCGCCAUCAAGUUGGUUGAUAAGACUGCGCCAAUCUUGAACAUAACCCUCCAAAAUCGUCAUCACCAAGCUUUCGCUGCUGCCAGCUGCACAAAAAAAUAAAAAUAAAAAAUUGAAUAACAAUAAAUGGUUUGAUAAAAAAAAAAAUCAAUUCAAAACUUGGGCCCAUACUUUGUUUCCAAAAUUGGGCCCGAUUUAUUUGAUUUAUAGAAAUGGGCUUGGUGUAAUUUAAGAUGGCCUCUCUACAAAUUAAAGAAGCCCAGCAAUGAAGCCCAAAGCCCCACCAAAAGAUGGCCCAACAUAAAUUCAACCAAGGGCUAAAUUGCAUACUCUCUCUUUUCCUCGGAUGAGACCGCAGCCAACACUCCUAGGCGGCGCAUCUCUUCUCAUACUCUCUCUUCUCCGGCAACCGCCUGCCAUCCGGCCUCGUUCCGGUC
rnacentral:lncRNA from 1 species